CCCUCCCCUCUCUUCCCAAAAUCCCCCUUCCCUCCCAAAAUCCCCAUUCCCUUGUAUUAGCUAGGUCUUAACUUAGGAAAAAAUAAUGGAAAAGAUAACCCUAGCCAAGCCCUCUUUCAUUCUUGCUCCGUGGCCUAUUCGUCAUGCAAAACCCUCGUCGUCUUGCUUCAAUCAUCUUAGUGAGCCGUCACCAUCGCCGUCGCCACUCCAUCUUCUCAGACGCAGAACCAGAAUCAGUUGCCAGUUGCCAGUUACGCAGAACUGGUUGCACGAUGUUGCCGCGCCUUCACCGGUCACCAAUUCGUCACCGCUCUGCCACUCCUUUGUUGCCUCUUUGCUGUGCUUCGUUUCCAUCUUCGCCACCGUUCCUGGUUGUUGUUCCCAAAAAUAGCGAACGAGGAGUGCAUUUUAGAAUGAUUGGUAGCUUUAUUUGUGCAAUGAUGAUUGGCUAGAACUUGAGAAGAGGAUUAAGGCGCGAGCAGGAAGGGAGUUGCUGCAAGUUAUUGGUCAGACAUAUGUUAAGGUUGAUGGUGGCAAGAAGAACGGUGGAGGUGGAUUUCAAGUGGGGAAGAGAAAGGUGAAGACCAAAUUAACAGGCAAUGGAGCUUGAUAAAAGAGGAGGACAUGAUAUGAAGAAAAUAUUUUCCAUAGCAAUAUGAGAUGGGAUGGGUCUCAUAUAUAUAUAUAUAUAUAUUAAUAUUUUAAUGUGUUCUGUACUUUUUGUAAAUAGACUUUACCCGGUAUUAAAUGUAAUGGAUAAAUUACACUUUAUUUUUAUUUGUGUUGUCUGGACUAAAAAUAUAUCUAGCUU